rnacentral:rRNA from 1 species
UGUUUCGGCUAGGGGGCCAUCCCGGCUUACCAACCCGAUGCAAACUGCGAAUACCGGAGAAUGUUAUCACGGGAGACACACGGCGGGUGCUAACGUCCGUCGUGAAGAGGGAAACAACCCAGACCGCCAGCUAAGGUCCCAAAGUCAUGGUUAAGUGGGAAACGAUGUGGGAAGGCUCAGACAGCCAGGAUGUUGGCUUAGAAGCAGCCAUCAUUUAAAGAAAGCGUAAUAGCUCACUGGUCGAGUCGGCCUGCGCGGAAGAUGUAACGGGGCUAAACCAUGCACCGAAGCUGCGGCAGCGAACGUAUCACUUAAAGCGAUUCAGCGUCUUACGAUUGACGGAGCGAAGCGACGUCAAAGCGUAUACAAAGUCGAGUCGGUUUAAGGAUACGUU